rnacentral:tmRNA from 1 species
GGGUUUGCAUGUAGAACGGGGGUCACCUAUAUAGGGGGUGCCCGCAAGGGCUAUGGCGAUAAACUGUCAUUGUAAUAAACCCAUCGGACCCGGGGGCAGUACCCGGCGCCUCCACCAAUCACCCGUGUCAUGGCGCGGCAAAUGGGGGCGAAAUAGGAUCGACGGGGGCGUAAAGAAUGUGCUUUUGCUCGGUGAGGUACCACCGUUAUCGGUCCAAAAACUUAUAGUUGCCAAUGACAACCAUAAGGCUCCGGUUGCUCUCGCUGCGUAAUGCGGUGCUAGCACUGGGAAUUUAAGUCCUCCGCCCCUAGCCGGGCGACAGGCGGGGUCCGCAGGCACCUGGCAACAGAAGCCUGCAUU